rnacentral:misc_RNA from 1 species
GAUGAAGAACGUAGCGAAAUGCGAUAAGUAAUGUGAAUUGCAGAAUUCAGUGAAUCAUCGAAUCUUUGAACGCACAUUGCGCCCGCCAGUAUUCUGGCGGGCAUGCCUGUUCGAGCGUCAUUUCAACCAUCAAGCCCCCGGCUUGUGUUGGGGACCUGCGGCUGCCGCAGGCCCUGAAAAGCAGUGGCGGGCUCGCUGUCACACCGAGCGUAGUAGAUUUCAUCUCGCUCAGGGCGUGCUGCGGGUUCCGGCCGUUAAACCACCUUCAUAACCCAAGGUUGACCUCGGAUCAGGUAGGAAGACCCGCUGAACUUAAGCAUAUAAUAAGCGGAGGA